rnacentral:rRNA from 1 species
UACGGGGGGGGCAAGCGUUGUUCGGAAUUACUGGGCGUAAAGGGUUCGUAGGUGGCUUGCUCAGUCAGACGUGAAAUCCCUCAGCUUAACUGGGGAACUGCGUCUGAUACUGGCGAGCUUGAGUGCAGGAGAGGAACGCGGAAUUCCAGGUGUAGCGGUGAAAUGCGUAGAUAUCUGGAGGAACACCGGUGGCGAAGGCGGCGACCUGGGCCAAUAUUGACGCUGAGGUGCGAAAGCGUGGGGAGCAAACAGG